rnacentral:tRNA from 1 species
AGGGAUGUAGCUCAGUGGUAGAGCACUUGGCUAGCAUGCACAAGGCCCUGAGUUCAAUCCCCAGCACCACCA